rnacentral:rRNA from 1 species
GUGAACGCUGGCGGUAGGCCUAACACAUGCAAGUCGAACGGCAGCACAGUAAGAGCUUGCUCUUACGGGUGGCGAGUGGCGGACGGGUGAGGAAUACAUCGGAAUCUACUUUUUCGUGGGGGAUAACGUAGGGAAACUUACGCUAAUACCGCAUACGACCUACGGGUGAAAGCAGGGGAUCUUCGGACCUUGCGCGAUUGAAUGAGCCGAUGUCGGAUUAGCUAGAUGGCGGGGUAAAGGCCCACCAAGGCGACGAUCCGUAGCUGGUCUGAGAGGAUGAUCAGCCACACUGGAACUGAGACACGGUCCAGACUCCUACGGGAGGCAGCAGUGGGGAAUAUUGGACAAUGGGCGCAAGCCUGAUCCAGCCAUACCGCGUGGGUGAAGAAGGCCUUCGGGUUGUAAAGCCCUUUUGUUGGGAAAGAAAAGCAGCGGGUUAAUACCCCGCUGUUCUGACGGUACCCAAAGAAUAAGCACCGGCUAACUUCGU